GGGGACGUAGCUCAGUUGGCUAGAGCACCUGCUUUGCAAGCAGGGGGUCGUGGGUUCGAGUCCCAUCGUCCCCACUA
rnacentral:tRNA from 1 species